rnacentral:rRNA from 1 species
AGUAUUAGUUUUAAUCUUUAAACCCAAAGAAUUUGGCGGUACCUUAUUCCAUUCAGAGGAAUCUACCCCAUGAUUGAUAGUGCACGAUUAACUUUACUUAAUUUUUGUUUAUAUAUCUCCGUUAUCAGAAGAUCUUUUUAGAGUUUAUAUUUUCGGGACUUUUAAUUAAAAAGUAUUUCAGGUCAAGGUGUAACAUAUAAUUAAGAGGAGGUGGAUUACAAUAAAUUUUAAUUUAUUACGGAUUUUAUAAUGAAGUUUUUAAAUUAAGGUGGAUUUGAUAGUAAUUUAAAUUAUUAUAUUUUUUUGAUAUUGGCUCUAAGGUGUGU